rnacentral:rRNA from 1 species
GUUGGGUUAAGUCCCGCAACGAGCGCAACCCUUAUCCUUUGUUGCCAGCGGUCCGGCCGGGAACUCAAAGGAGACUGCCAGUGAUAAACUGGAGGAAGGUGGGGAUGACGUCAAGUCAUCAUGGCCCUUACGACCAGGGCUACACACGUGCUACAAUGGCGCAUACAAAGAGAAGCGACCUCGCGAGAGCAAGCGGACCUCAUAAAGUGCGUCGUAGUCCGGAUUGGAGUCUGCAACUCGACUCCAUGAAGUCGGAAUCGCUAGUAAUCGUGGAUCAGAAUGCCACGGUGAAUACGUUCCCGGGCCUUGUACACACCGCCCGUCACACCAUGGGAGUGGGUUGCAAAAGAAGUAGGUAGCUUAACCUUCGGGAGGGCGCUUACCACUUUGUGAUUCAUGACUGGGGUGAAGUCGUAACAAGGUAACCGUAGGGGAACCUGCGGUUGGAUCAC